rnacentral:rRNA from 1 species
GCAGGCAGACAUUUCUUCUGCCACCGAAUACAUUAGCAUGGGAUAAUGGAAUAGGACCCUGUCCUCCUAUUUUACGUGUUGGUUUUCGAGGACCGGGUAAUGAUUAAUAGGGAUAGUUGGGGGCAUUAAUAUUUAAUUGUCAGAGGUGAAAUUCUUGGAUUUAUGAAAGAUUGACUUCUGCGAAAGCAUCUGCCAAGGAUGUUUUCAUUAAUCAAGAACGAAAGUUAGGGGAUCGAAGACGAUCAGAUACCGUCGUAGUCUUAACCAUAAACGAUGCCGACCAGCGAUUAGGAGACGUUGAAUACAAAACACCACCGUUGGGUCGUGGCGGGCCGUGCCCCGCGGUCCGUCGUGCGCGGCGACGCGUGCGGCGGCCACGGGGACCGCGGUCCGUAUCAGCCACCCGACGGCCCGGUGAAUGACUCCCCUAGCAGCUUGUGAGAA